AACGAACGCUGGCGGUAUGCUUAACACAUGCAAGUCGAACGAAUUUAUCUAGCUUGCUAGAUAAGUUAGUGGCAAACGGGUGAGUAACACGUGGGAAUCUACCCAGUAGUACGGAAUAACGGUUAGAAAUGACCGCUAAUACCGUAUAGUAUCGAGAGAUUAAAGAUUUAUCGCUACUGGAUGAGCCCGCGUCAGAUUAGGUAGUUGGUAGGGUAAAAGCCUACCAAGCCAAAGAUCUGUAGCUGGUCUGAGAGGAUGACCAGCCACACUGGAACUGAGACACGGUCCAGACUCCUACGGGAGGCAGCAGUGAGGAAUAUUGGACAAUGGGCGAAAGCCUGAUCCAGCAAUACCGCGUGAGUGAAGAAGGCCUUAGGGUUGUAAAGCUCUUUCAGCAGGGAAAAUAAUGAUGGUACCUGCAAAAGAAGUUCCGGCUAACUCCGUG
rnacentral:rRNA from 1 species